UCCUCUGAAUGUCUUUCUCCUUGUUCUCCAUGUUAUAGCUGUGUGUGCCACAUUCCUUAACAGAUUUCCAUGGGAUCACGGUUGGCUUUGGAGACUGAGGAAAGAAGACAGAAUUCUGUGAAGUCUGAACAUCUGUUAGAGUCGUGAAUGGCUUCGGGGAUGAGCUCAUCAGCAGGUGAACUUCCUGUUCCAGAUGGGAGCUGUCAGUCAUGCCCACGCAAUGUUAGCAGAAGAGGGCCAUUGUAAAAAUGCUGACCUUAAUGGCAACCUUCAGAAACAUGGGUUUCAUCUAUGACCCCAGGUCAUUAAUAAAAUAGGACAAUUUCAGAGCAAGCCAGGACAAUAUUCCAUAAAUGUAUACAAAGGUUGUUUCUUAUUAAAAUUAUAAAGUUUUCAAAAUAUUAACUCAUUACAAAAUUAUCCAUCUGUGAUGCAUUAUUAUUGAAUACAUGUAAUUUGUUUUGUCUUCAGUGAAGAGUGAAAAAAAAAAUACCUGGAGUGUUCACAAAGAUGGACCCUUAGUAGAGUAGUUUAAGAGUGUGGACCCUAUGGAUGACAGCCUGGCUAAAUGGAUGCCUUACUUGACUCCAGGUUUUAUCUUCAGCAAAUUCUUAAAGUUCCUAAUCCUCUGUUUCUCAGUUCUAAGGUAAUAAUAGGAAUCACUUUCUAGGGUUGUAUUAAAUCCUGCAGUAAGGUGGGUGAACUUAGAAGAGUGACUACCAUGUAAAAGGUUUUUUUUUUUUUUUCAGAUACAACUGAUAUAACAUUAGUUUCAAGUAUAUAACAUAAUGAUUUGACAUUGGUAUAUGUUGCCCAAAUGAUCACCACAGGAGGUCUAGUUCAUAUAUCACCACGCAUAGUUAACAACUUUUUUCCUUGCGAUAAGAAAUUUUAAGGUUUACUCUCUUAGCAGCUUUCAAAUAUGCAAUACAGUAUUAUCAACUAUAGUCACCACGCUGUACAUUAUAUCCCCAGGACUUAAUGUAGUUUAUAAC
rnacentral:lncRNA from 1 species